rnacentral:rRNA from 1 species
AUGAAGCGUCGGAACCCUCCGUCCGGCGCCGGAUUGCCCGCAGGAGAGGGCUCGGGGUGGGAGGCGAAGUGGGAGCGGCCUAAUGGGCGUUGGAGAGGGAGACAGCCGGCGCCCGUGGUGAAGUGGUCGCACGCCGAGGCCAUGAAGAAGAAGCCCAAAGUUGGUGGCGGAGCAGCCUUGGUCGGAGAUGGCGGAGGGUGGCGGAUGGAGACGGAGGCGGAAAUGGUGGGGCUUGAUGGACGAAGCUGCGGCGGAAGAGGGUUUUUUGGAACGAGCUGGGCGGAGGCGGCGGAGAAGAGCGCGGAUGCGGCCACCGGCGGAGGAGAGAACGAGUGGCGUUUGCCGGAGACGGAAAAGGCGAAUCCUUGCGAGGCCGUGGAAGGGGGCGGUGGAGGAGAUGCGAGGGGCGAUGAGGUCAAGGAGGAACUGUACGAUUGGAGGUGGACGGAGGCUGUGAGCCCGGAGAUAAUGGCGCUGAUACUGCGGGGCAGGUUCGCCGCCGACGAGAUUGCGCGCGGGCCCUCGGCGGUGUGCAGGGCGUGGAGGGAGGCCGCUGCGUCGCCGGACAUGUGGGGGGACGUGGACAUCGAGGCCUGGUGCCGCCGCAUCAAGUGCCGUGUCAGGGCCGACGCAGCUGUGCGCCGCCUUGUCGCCCGCUCCCAGGGCACGAUCCGGCGGCUCUCAGCCUACCGUGUCGGCGACGCUGCGCUUGCCUAUGCCGCCGCCUCUGGGAAAUUGCUUAAUGUCCUCCUGAUCCCGAUGAGCGAGAUAUCUGACCAAGCCGUGGAGAAGUACGUGAAAUGCUUUACUGCCCUAAGAGUGUUGGACAUCAGUUACUGCGUGAAAGUCACAUCGAGAGGCAUGGAAGCAAUAGGCCGACAAUGCAAGUCGCUUGCUCAGCUGAAGAGGAACAUGCCUCCUCCACAGCCUCCCCUGGGCAACAAUGCAGCACCUACGGUGGUUGAAGACGAGGCCCUGGCGGUUGCAAAUACCAUGCCGAUGCUUACACAACUUGAGCUUGCAUAUGGUUUGUUCAGUGAUAUUGGCCUAGAUGCCAUCCUCAACCAAUGCCCUCUGCUGCGUACACUGGACAUACUUGGCAGCUUGAAUGUCAGGCUCGACGGCGACAUCGAGGACAGAUGCUGCGCUCUCGAGUCGUUCCGGGAGCCAUGGGAGCCUGAGUAUCACGAGUACUCGAGCAGUGGUGGCGAUGGCGACUACGAUGACACCGAAAGCGAUGAUUGA